rnacentral:rRNA from 1 species
AGUGAACGCUGGCGGUAGGCCUAACACAUGCAAGUCGAACGGCAGCACAGUAAGAGCUUGCUCUUACGGGUGGCGAGUGGCGGACGGGUGAGGAAUACAUCGGAAUCUACUUUUUCGUGGGGGAUAACGUAGGGAAACUUACGCUAAUACCGCAUACGACCUACGGGUGAAAGCAGGGGAUCUUCGGACCUUGCGCGAUUGAAUGAGCCGAUGUCGGAUUAGCUAGUUGGCGGGGUAAAGGCCCACCAAGGCGACGAUCCGUAGCUGGUCUGAGAGGAUGAUCAGCCACACUGGAACUGAGACACGGUCCUGAGUCCUACGGGAGGCAGCAGUGGGGAAUAUUGGACAAUGGGCGCAAGCCUGAUCCAGCCAUACCGCGUGGGUGAAGAAGGCCUUCGGGUUGUAAAGCCCUUUUGUUGGGAAAGAAAAGCAGCAGGUUAAUACCCCGCGGUUCUGACGGUACCCAAAGAAGAAGCACCGGCUAACUUCGUG